rnacentral:rRNA from 1 species
GCAAGUCGAACGGCAGCACGGGAGCAAUCCUGGUGGCGAGUGGCGAACGGGUGAGUAAUAUAUCGGAACGUGCCAGUCUGGGGGAUAACGUAGCGAAAGCUACGCUAAUACCGCAUACGAUCUAUGGAUGAAANCGGGGAUCGCAAGACCUCGCGCGAUUGGAGCGGCCGAUAUCAGAUUAGGUAGUUUGGUGAGGUUAAAAGGGCUCACCAAGCCGACGAUCUGUAGCUGGUCUGANAGGAUGAUCAGUCACACUGGAACUGAGACACGGUCCAGACUCCUACGGGAGGCAGCAGUGGGGAAUAUUGGACAAUGGGCGAAAGCCUGAUCCAGCCAUGCCGCGUGUGUGAAGAAGGUCUUCGGAUUGUAAAGCACUUUAAGUUGGGAGGAAGGGUAGUAACCUAAUACGUUGCUACUUUGACGUUACCGACAGAAUAAGCACCGGCUAACUUCGUG